AAGCUAUUAUGCGAAAAAUAUCUAAAUGCCAAAAAGGGAAAGGUAAAUUGCAAGGGAAAAAGAAUGUAGAACUUGCAGAAGAAAUAAAUAAAAUAAACAAUGUUAAGUGCUGGAAAAGAAAAAUAAGCAAAAGCGUGAAAAGAAAAAUGGGCAGAGCUUCGGCAAUCUGAGCGUGAAAAAACCGGAGGAGCUGGAACUUCC
rnacentral:lncRNA from 1 species